AUAUUAUUAAGCGGAGGAAAAGAAACUAACUAGGAUUCCCCUAGUAAUGGCGAAUGGACGGGGAAGAGCCCAGCACCGAAUCCCGUAGUGCUUCACUGCCGGGAACUGUGGUGUUUAGGCAAGCCUUUCCGGCAUUUUGAGGCAGUCAAAGUCCCCUUGAGGGGGGCCAUCGCCCGAGU
rnacentral:rRNA from 1 species